UAAGAAAGAAGAAAAUAAAUUUCUCUCUAUCGAUAAUUUCUAUAUCUCAAAAUGUAGAAGUUUUAAAUGCAAAUAUUUUAUUUGUUCUGCCUAGAAGACCUCAAAUAUAAUAAAGAAUAUGUUAUAGUCUUUCUGUUCUUCAACUGUGAAGCUAAGAGAAUAAGAGAUUUAUGAAGGAUGAAGUCUAUUGUUUCAGAAAAACACAAUGACAGCUUUCAGUGAUACAAACAGCUUUUUAUUGAAAGAAACUUUGCAGACCAGAAGGCAGUGGGAUGUUGCAUUUUAAUUGCUGAAAUAAGAAUUGCUGUCAACUGAGAAUUCUGUAUCCAGCAAAACUGUGUUUCACUGACAAAGAAGAAAUGAAGACAUCUCCAGGAAAACAAAAGCUGAGGGAGUUAAUUGCUGCUAGGCAUUCCCUUGGAGAAAUGGUAAAUGCAGCUCUUCAAUUUGAAAUGGAAGAACGCUAAAGAGUGAUGCAAAGGCAUGCAAAAAUAUAGUUAUCUGAGUAAACAUAAAUCUAUGGAUCAAUACACUUUUUUAAAAGGUAUUAUUAUAAUGCUGAUUGACAACUUCACUUUCUAUUUUCAAUAAGAUUUAAAAACAAAAGCAUAAACAUAGCUAUUAAUCUAGCUUAACAGGUACACAAAUAUAAAGAUAUAAUUUGUGACACUAAUAACAUAGUGUUUGUGGGGGAGUGAAGCUGUAAAGGAAUAGAAUUUCUUUAUGCAAAUGAAAUUAAUUGGCUAUCAUAAAAUAGUGUUAUAACUUCAUGAUGUUAGAUGUAAUCCCUGUGGUAAGUACAAAGAAAGUAUCUAUUGCAAAUACACAAAAGGGAAUGAAAAGGGAAUCAAAACAUGUCACUGCAGAAAACUGACUAAAUAAAAGCAAUAAUGGAGAUAGUGAGGGACAAACAAAGUAUCAGACACACAGAAAACAAAUAACAAAAUUGCUAAAAUAAGUCUUUUCCUACUAAUGGUUAGUUUAAAUGUAAAUGGAUUAAACUCACCAGAUCAAAGAACAGAGAUUGGCAGAAUGGAUUUUAAAAAAUCAAGAUUCAGCUGUGUAUUAUUUGCAGAGCUUUGCUUUAGAUCCAAGAACAUGCCUAAAUAGAAAGUGAAAGAAUGGAAAGAAUAUUCCAUGCAAAAAGUAAUUGAAAGAGAGGAGAGGUGGCUAUCCUAACAUAACACAAAAUACAUUUUAAGCAAAAAGCCAUUAAAACAGUCAAAGAAAAAUAUUAUAUAUGAUAAAAGGGUCAUUUCACCAAGAAGAUACAAUCAUUAUGAAUAUAAAUGCACCCAAAAUCAGAACUCCAAAAUAUGCAGUAAUACUUUGAUUCUGGAAUGCUUCUGUUUGUAAACAAUUCAGUUCAUAAACAAAGUGUUUGGCAAAAUUUUGCUUCUGUUUUCAAACUCCACAUUCGGUGACAAACCUGACUAUGCCUAUCUUCCUCACAUGAACAAAAAAGUAGCUAUCUUCCCUAAAUUGGAAUACCAAUUAAAUUCAUAAACCAACAUGCUACUGUACUAAGAAAUACUGUCAGAAUUGAAGGGAGAAAUUGGCAGCUUUAUAAUAAUAGGAAAUUUUAAUACAUAACUCAUGAUGAUGAAUGGAACAACUAAAUAAAAGAUUAACAAGUAAACAAAAGAUUAUGAACAAUCCUGCAUAGUCAUUGGCUCUAACCGGCAUAUGCAGAACUCUCCAUCCAACAACAGCAGAAUAGAAUAUAUGCUUUUUUCCCAAAUGUACACAGAACAUUCUCCAGGAGAGACUACAUGUUAGGCUAAAAAUAAUUUUUAAUACAUUUUAAAAGAAUGAAUGAUACAAACUAUCUUGUAUUGAUCACAAUAGAGUGAAACUGGAAAUCAACUUCUGAUAAAAACUUGAAUAAUUUACCACUAUGUGGAAAAAAUAGGGUCUUAUACAAUGAUGUCAAGGAAGAAAUCGUAAGAGAAACUGAAAAAUAUCUCGAGAUAAAUAAAAAACAAAAAAUCAUUGAAUAUAGCAAAAUCAGUGCUACAUCAGUGCUGCAAAAUCAGUGCUACACAAGAAAAAGAGAGAAAAGUUUCAAGCCAUUAAACUUUCACCCUACGGUGCAUAAAAACCAUACUUAAACUAUGCUCAAACAAAG
ensembl:lncRNA